rnacentral:rRNA from 1 species
UACGUAGGGGGCAAGCGUUGUCCGGAUUUAUUGGGCGUAAAGAGCGUGUAGGCGGUUUGGUAGGUCCGCUGUGAAAACUCGAGGCUCAACCUCGAGACGCCGGUGGAAACCAUCAGACUAGAGUCCGGAAGAGGAGAGUGGAAUUUCUGGUGUAGCGGUGAAAUGCGCAGAUAUCAGGAAGAACACCCGUGGCUAAGGCGGCUCUCUAGUACGGUACUGACGCUGAGACGCGAAAGCGUGGGGAGCAAACAGG